ensembl:lincRNA
UGGGGUGUGAACUCUUUCCAAACUGAGAGAAUAAGCACUUGCUGCUUGGAUGACAUGCAGACCUUCUGGAUUAAUCAUCUGCCAUGGCGUUCCAAUCUUAUACGCAUGAGAGAAUUUGUCAUUUGACAAAUUAUCUUUAUGUUUUAACAGUGACCGUUACCUUAUAUGUAUGUUUCUAUGUCUUAACAAGUCAGUCCUGUGCAUGUUCACGUGGCAGCAGUGUAACAUGGCAGAAGGUGGAAGUGAGGGAGAAAACCCAAGAUGUCACCUGGGAACCAGUAUGUCUGGAGGGUUUUGAGGUUAAACUUGGACCUGUUGGAACUGAAGAUGCACCUGUUGGAACUGAAGAUGCAGCAUCUAGACUGGACAGCAGUGGCAAUCAAAGCUUUAAUACCAAAUGACGCCAAACCUAACGAAGCCUUUUUUGGUCUCCUCCAUCCAGUCUUCCCAGGGAACCAUAAGCUCUAGCAUGACCACCUGCUUAGAUGCCUUGGACAGAAAUACUGUGUCUUGCCUAAGUGUGGUUGUUACAGCCAAGGAACAUAAGCUUCCUCCCUAGGUCAACCUUCAGCUGCCAAAGUCUUGCCAGGAGACCCGCUGAUUCUCUGGGCUGUGGUUGUGGCUGCUGACCGAUUCUGAUGAAAGCAAUGGUCUGAAUUGCUGUGUGGUGAUGUUUACUGAUGUGAUGCCUCUGCUUAUAGUGUCUACUAAGGCCUUAAGCACCUGGUUGUGGUGCCAUCAAUAGCGGCCUUCUCCAGGGGCUUUUGGGCAACAGCUGAGGAUGUGCUCCAGUCUCUCUCGCCCUUGGCACAGUAGGCAUCCUGGUGAAUCACUUUGCCCCAUCAGUAGAGUUAAGAUGGACUAAGGAGCUCAUAUUGUUUUCCAAGAACAUAUAGAUAUGACUGGUGGUUUUGAAUUAAAUUAUUUUUUGGAAUGAUGACUUCAGCUCCUUACUUUGGUUCCAUCAGUACUGGAAAAAAUGAAUGUCAAAGAGAUCUCUGGAGAGAUUUCAACUGAUUUAAUUUAAAUUAUUCAUGAAUACAUGAAUCAAGUCCCCUCUUAGUCUUCUUUGUCAAGAUUAAACAGGUUCUUUCAGCUGUCAGUGAAGGACAUUCCAGAGCAGUAGUGAUUAUAUCAGGGUAACAAAAAUUGUCUGAGCUCACAGGAGUGCAUCAUGCCAUUUUAUUUCAAUGUGUAAUUUUAGCUUUGCAUGAUUUAAAUUCUAUGCUUUUAGCUAUCUAUCCAAAUGUGUAGUUCAAGUAGUUAGCUGCAUCGGCAUGCGUAGGCUGCAAAAGAACAAGUAAAAGGUUUAUUCCAUGCUAUCUUCACACCUCUUAAAUUGCUUCCCUAAAGUGUCUAAAAGAUGACAAUGAUAUGCCUACAUAAACACCUAUGUUUUUUUUUAAAGUAGCCUCUUCAGGCUCUGCAUUUCCUUUUUUGGUAUUUGUAAUUUCCAAAAGAUAAUGUAUCAUUACAUUAGAGGACUCCAGUCCAGGCUCAAGAAUGCCACUGUGUCUGCAGGUUUUCAUUGCAGCUCUGUUCUUAAAUACAGAUUUCCAACAAUUAGGCUAUAAUUGACUAAACUGGACCUUUCCCAGCUCAUUGCAUUUUGAAGAUUUAAAGAGGAUUAUAAAACCUGCUGGACUGUGUCCCUUCAAGUCCAAUAUUCAAAAGCACUGCCUGCUUUAAAG